rnacentral:rRNA from 1 species
CCUACGGGGGCAGCAGUGGGGAAUUUUGGACAAUGGGCGCAAGCCUGAUCCAGCCAUUCCGCGUGAGUGAAGAAGGCCUUCGGGUUGUAAAGCUCUUUCGCAAGGGAAGAAAGAUUACAUUCUAAUAUAAUGUGAUUAUGACGGUACCUUGAUAAGAAGCACCGGCUAACUACGUGCCAGCAGCCGCGGUAAUACGUAGGGUGCGAGCGUUAAUCGGAAUUACUGGGCGUAAAGCGUGCGCAGGCUGUUUUGUAAGUCAGAUGUGAAAUCCCCGAGCUCAACUUGGGAACUGCGUUUGAAACUACAAGACUAGAAUAGGUCAGAGGGGGGUAGAAUUCCACGUGUAGCAGUGAAAUGCGUAGAGAUGUGGAGGAAUAUCAAUGGCGAAGGCAGCCCCCUGGGAUCAUAUUGACGCUCAUGCACGAAAGCGUGGGGAGCAAACAGGAUUAGAUACCCUGGUAGUCCACGCCCUAAACGAUGUCAACUAGUUGUUGGUAGAGUAAAAUCUAUGAGUAACGCAGCUAACGCGUGAAGUUGACCGCCGNGGAGAGAGUGNGAGAGUAACUACAAUAGAGUAGAGCGNGAGAGNGCGACGGACGACGACGAGGGAGGAGG